rnacentral:rRNA from 1 species
UACGGAGGGUGCGAGCGUUGUCCGGAAUCAUUGGGCGUAAAGGGCGCGUAGGCGGCCGUCCCAAGCGUGCGGUGAAAGUCAGGGGCUCAACCCCUGAUCGGCCGUGCGAACUGGGGGGCUCGAGCACUGUAGAGGCAGGCGGAAUUCCGGGUGUAGCGGUGGAAUGCGUAGAGAUCCGGAAGAACACCGGUGGCGAAGGCGGCCUGACUGG